UACGAGUGCCCCAAGCGUUAUCCGGAAUCAUUGGGCGUAAAGGGUGUGUAGGCGGCAUGGUUAGUCUCUUGUCAAAGCUCCUGGCUUAACCGGGAAAAUGCAAGGGAAACGGCCAUUGCUAGAGGAUGUGAGAGGUGAAUGGAACUCAUGGUGUAGGGGUGAAAUCCGUUGAUAUCAUGGGGAACACCAAAAGCGAAGGCAAUUCACUGGCGCACUCCUGACGCUGAAACACGAAAGCGUGGGUAGCGAAUGGG
rnacentral:rRNA from 1 species